GGUCCUGUGGUCUAGUGGUAUGAUUCCUGCUUCGGGCUCUUACACCUGAAGUUCCCCGGUUCUAAACGAACCGAGAUUGCAGGAGGCCCCGGGUUCGAAUCCCGGCAGGACCC
rnacentral:tRNA from 1 species